CCCCGGCGCCCCCGGCAAUAUCAUGGACGGCUGGAUCAGAAUCUACACCUCCUCAAACACUAAUUCCCAAUUCGGAAAGCUCAGCGCCCGCGAGCAGCUCCGCGCCCAGAUUCUCCAGCUUCGGGAUCAAUACAAAGAUGAAAUCCUCAGCAUAGUGGUGACGGGGCACAGCCUGGGCGCGGCGCUGGCCGUGCUCUCGGCGUUCGACCUCGUCGAGAACGUCGUCCCCGACAUCCCCGUGACGGCCUUCGUCUUCGCUGCCCGCGGGUCGGGGACGGCGCGUUCGUGGAGAGGGCUCGGGACGCACCCGAACCUGAAGAUCCUGCACACGAAGAACUUGCUCGACGUUCCGAAUCCGUGAUACGGGUACACGGAUGCCGGCGUGGAGCUGGUGGUCGACGGCAGAAGUCGCCGUCGCUGAAGAGCGGAUAAUCCUGGGGACUUUCAUAAUUUGCAGGGGAUACUGCACGCGGUGGCGGGGUGGCAGGGGCGGAGGGGAGUUCAGGUGGGGUGAAGAGGAGCUUGGCGUUGGUGAAUAAGGCGGGUAACUUACUGACUAAAGAGUGUCAGAUCCCGGCGUCGUGGUGGGUGGCGGAGAAUAAAGGGAUGAUGCUUGAUCAGGACGGGGAGUGGGUGUUGAAGCCGCCGCUCGACACAACGACGACGAUUGCCCCGCGUGCCGGAGUGAUCAUAUCCUCUAAUAUUGCCAAUUUGUGUUCCUAUGCAUAAUCGUGUCGUAAUAAUUUGUGUGUUUCGUUCAUGCUUUGUAUUACUAAUAAAUAAACGCGCACCUAAUGUGCGCGCGGUGGUUGCCCUAGCUAAGUAGGCAGAGGUUAAUGUCCAAGACUUGAAGUCUUGGGUUCGAGUCUUUCGUCGUGCGGUCUUUAAAUUACGUAAUUUAUCAAUAAAUGAAAAAUAAAAGUCUUUAAAUUUCUUUAUUUACUUAUGUAAUUUAUCAAAAAAAGAAAUAAAAAAGUCUUUAUAUUUAUGUGUUUAGUUAUGUAAUUUUCAAUAAAAGAAAAAAAAAGUGCUAAUUGGUUGUAUCCAUAAAUUAGUAAAAAAAAUCAAAAUUCAUUAAUAAAUGGUUUGGAGCCAAAAUACUCAUAAGAUCAUAACUGACUUAUGAGCAUCAUUUCGUAUAGAGUUUGAAAGACUAUAAUUGACUUGUAAGCAUCAUCUCGUCCAUAGUUUGAUAGAUCAGAGUUGAGUUCUAAUCAUCACUCAUUUGGAGCUUGAAAGACCGCAAAUGAAUGCUAAACAUUAUCUUGUUUGAAGUUUAAAGGAUCAGAAUUUAGUUAUAAGCAUCAUCUUCUUUGGAGUUUGGCAAGCCACUUAUAACUUAUGAGGAUCAUAUUGUUUGGAGCCAAUUGAGUACAUCCCGUAUGAAGCUUCAUAGACCACCUCUGACUUUUUUACAUUAUCUCGUAGAGUUUGAAAGAUCAAAGUGACUUUUGAGAAUCAUCUUGUCUAUAGCUAUAUAAAAACUGUAUACAAUAUAUACUUUUAUUUAGAUUAUGAACUGAAAAAGUGUCAUAAAAAUUCAAAUAACAUAAUUUUAGUUUUAUAAAUCUAUUUUGCAUAGAUUGUACGUUUGCUAAAAUAUCGUAAAUCUAAUUAUUGAAUUAUAAAAUUAAUAAAAUAUAAAUAACAUAAGAAAAAUUAAAUUUAUUAAUUCAUCAUCUUAAUAUUCACAUGAUUCAAUAAUUUAAUUUUUAAAACUUUAUAAAAAAAAGAUUUAGGAUUCAAAAUUUGUUUAAUGAAAAUUGCAUAAAAUAUAUACUUCUGUUUAGGUUAUUAACUCAAAAACUAUCAUAAAAAAUAAUGGUGAGAUUUAAAUUUCUUCAUUUUAUUUUUACAAAUUUGUUUUUAUAUAGAUUUUAUAUUUUCUAAAAUUUAAUAAAAAAAUAUCAUAAAAAUCAAUAUGAGAUUCAAAUUACAUCAUUUUAUUUUUAUAAAUAUGUUUUAAUAUAAAUUUUACAUUUGCUAAAGUAUCGUAAAGCUAAAUAUUGAAUUAUAGAAUUAAUAAAAUAUAAAUAACAUAAGAAAAAUAAAAUUUAUUAAUUCAUUAUUUUAAUAUAUGGACUGACAUUAUUGAAUAAAUUUUAUUAUUGGUCAAAGUAAUAUUAGAUAGAUAGUUAUAUUUUUUAAUAAAAAUAUAACUAUCUAUUUGGCCAACUAAAAGUUAAUUGAUCAAAUUAAAUUGAUGAAGCAAAUAUAUAAAUGAUGAGAUACUACACAAAUAUUUAUAUAAUCUUUGAUCAAGAUGGAGUUUAAUUAAAAAUCAAUGUGGGAUAAGAGAUAUGGCUUGUGAAACGAUGAGAAUGAAGGAGAAUAGAGAAUUUUUAAAAUGGAGAGAUUCUAGAUAUGAUACAUUAGCAAGCAUUUUGACAAAUCGAUAUUUAAUUAACAAUUAUAGCAAUAUAAAUAUAAUUGAUACAUUUCAUAUUUUGUAUUUUUUUGGAUUGGAUCGUAUGCUUCUUUAUUGAUUAGUAUUUUUAUAUUUAUAUGUAUCAUGAAUUACUUCAUUAAAGAAACUGGAAGCUCUCAGCAGUUCCAGCAUCCAAAUACACAAUUACAUCUUUAAUAUUCUCCGAGGCCUGACAAAAUAUCAAAUCCAAUAAAAGAUCAUAGACAAGGCCCAAAACCCAUGAUUUCGGCCCAAAACAAUUCCAUCGAUCAAUUUAAUUACAGCCAAACCGUUUGUUUAGGGAAUUCACAAGAAUGACAAACCCAACAAAAGAAAUGUACCAAUUUAAUUUCAAACUUAAAUUGUUAACAAACUCUAGUCCAGCCCUUUCUGCAAAUUAAAAAAAUUCAAUAAGUAACUUCCAUAUUAAAUUGUACUAAAGAAUUAAUAACACUCUUGAACCAUUAAUUAAUUCAACAUUAAUAAUUGAAUUUUGAUUUUCCACAACAUUCAAAAAUCACCCACCUGAGAAUUUCGCAUAAUUGACAAGGUAUCAUAAAUUUUAAAUCAUUCAUUUAAGAAUAUCAUACUCUAUAGAUACCUUAUUCAUCUAACUACAUUGGAAACUAUCUUAAAUAUUUUGUAGGGGUCAUAAAUUAUCCCUCCGUCCACGAAAUGAGUACCCUUUGUGGACGGCACGGGUUUUUAAGAAAUAGUAUGGAAUUAGUAGUGAAUAGUUUAAGGGUCCCACUUUUUAGUGUAUUAAUUAAAGAGAUGUGUGUGGUACACUUGCCAAAAAGGGAAAUGGGUACUCAUUUCGUGGACGGACGAAAAAGGAAAUAUGGGUACUCAUUUCGUGGACGGAGGGAGUAUUAUUUUAAGAAGAUGUCAAUUAAUAGAUAAAUAAAAUUAUUUAUUAAUUAAAAGAGAUAUUUUUAUACACAAUGAAUUUAAAUUUAAUAUAGAAAUUCGGCAAACUUAAAUUUAAUAACAAAGGAAUUCAAUGAACUUGAAUUUAAUUACAUGAGGGUAUGUUUACUUUGAUGGAAAUGGAGAGAAAACUAUUUUUUUACAAUUUUCUACAUGUUUAUUAUGAUUAGAAAAUUUUAUCUCCGGCAACUCAUUUUCUCUUCAAUAUUGUGUUGAAAAUAUUUUUCACACUUAUCAGAGAUUCUUCUAGCGUUCUGGGUUGUUUUCAUUUCUCUGCGGGACGUGGUUGGGCUUUUGAGGCAGAGCUGCUCGCCCUCAUCAUUGCUUUGGAGCAAUCUGUCAAUCAUGGUUGGAGACGAUGUUUGGAUCGAGACUGACUGCGCUUAUUUGGUGGAUCUUUUCAGUUCUCGGUCAAACACGGUUCCUUGGAGGUUCUUCAGUCGCUGGCGUAAGGUUCUCUCUUCCCUUGCUGGUUUUCAUUUUAUUAUCACUCACAUCUACAGGGAAGGGAACCGGGUUGCAGAUUGUUUGGCUUCUUCUGUAGCGGAGGAAGGCUAUUGGAAUUUUACGAUCCCGGAUAUCCUACAGUUGGUGAAGGAUGACAGGCGGCAACUUCCUUACAUUCGGGUUGUCACUUGAGCUUGGUCUCCUUGGGGACUGGUUUGUUUGUUGUUUGUUUGGUGUUUCUGGGGCCACGGUUGUCUUUUGCACAGGUGACCAGAGCAGGGAGGAUUCAUAAUGCGUUCGGUGGGAAUCCUGUGCUGACUGCUCGGCUUAUUCCGGCCAGUGCAGAUCUCUCUAGAUGGCCUAAGCUGUCCCCUCGGGUUUUGUUGUUGGCUCUUUUGUGCUUGAGCUGUGUUUCUUCCGGCUUAGGGGGACGACUCGCCGAUGGGUUUUGGUUUGGCCGUAAUCUGUGGCGGCGGCUUUCCCGUCCCCCUUAACUGUGGUUCUGUUUUUUUUGGUUUUUCGUUAGGUGGUAUUGCGCCUUAUGGUCCCUUGUUGUACUGCUUUUCGUUUCACCAGUUUUGUAACAACUUUUCUUUCUUUCUUUUCAAUAAAAUUUUCAUUACAGCAUUGUGUGAAAAUAUUUUUCAACAUUUUCUCAUAUUUUAAUCUCUAAUAAACAUAUGAUAAAAUUAACAUACGAAAAAGAUACUAUUUUUUCAUAUUUUUUUUAUUCACUAUUUUUACAAUCAAAAUAAAUGCAUGAGAGAUUAAUACUAGACGGUUAAUUUCUACAAGCGAUCAUGUAUUAGACAAUACGAUCCAGAUUUGCAUAUUGAUAAAGAAACUAUACUCGUAAACAAAACAAAAUGUUUUAAAAAUGAUACCUAAAUAUACAAUGGUCUUUCAUCUAAAAUGUGUCGAAAAAUAAUGACACUACCAAAUACGUGAGGCAUUAUGUGAGUACAAACACAAAAACUUGGGUACAAUCGAGUGUAUCGUAGCAUACUAGCUUUUCAGAAAGUAAUAGGAAUUCUUCCCCUUCUUCCAUUCGUUUUCGACGCAGCCAUUGUUUCAAAGCAGCCCUAAUUUUUAUCUGCUGCUAUAUGUCAGCAUCUUGACUUUGGAGGAAAAUAUAGCAGCAACAAGUUUGCAAAAAUAUAAAGCAGUAAGAGACCUAAUAGCUUAAGUGGCUACUGCCUCCAACUUUGAUUGACAAAUCUAUGAAUUUCAUGUUUCAUGAUUUGUUGGGUAGCCCAACAGAUCAGUAGAAUCUCAUUUAUAUUUUUCCUCCCAUGUCAGAAAGUAAAAGCUGCUUUGAAACAAUGGUUGCAUUGAAAACGAAUGGAAGAAGAAGGGAAAAAUUCCUAUUACUUUCUGAAAAGCUAGUAUGCUUCGAAGAAAAAGAAGGGAAGGGCUGAAAUUGGGCUUGUUUAAAUCUGAAAUUUGUUUCCCUCAAAAAAAUAAAAAAUGAAAUUUGGGUGACACGUCAUUUGUCCAGGUGUUCCGAUGUGAUUACGUGUAAAUUUCCGACUGCCACGUCAUUUUCACGAUUGGGGGUUUUUUGAUCAUGGGAACUGGGAAGAGUCAGAAAAAAGUGAAAGGUGAUGUAUUAUAGAGCGGAAUUUAAAGGUGAUGUGCAAUUCCAGAAUUCAGUUAAACUUUGUGUAUUUAGGAGCAAUUAAGCUUUAAAAAUAUGUUGUCAAAAUCUUAUGUAUUGAUUUGAUAUAUUUUGAACGAAAGCAUAUAUAUUAACUUGGAGAGAAAUAAAUUAAUACUAACUUCUUUUCGUUUUAGUUAUUUUCAGCUCUCACAACUGCUUUGAUAAGGGUUGAACAUAUUGUAAAUAAAGUUAUAUUAACGCAUAAUUGCGAUUUUUGAAAAUGAUUAUGCUGUGUGCUCCAAAUACUGUACAUAUGCUUAUUAGAAGUUAAAAAACGUGAUGUCUAGAUGGUCUUAAAAUAUUUUUUUAAGAUUUUGUUCGAUUUUCGUUCCACAUGCAUGCAUGCAAUAAUUCAAUCUCCACCUAAUUUACUGGGAACACACCAUUCACAUUUUUUUUAUUUUUUUUGAAUUUCGAGGAGAGGGAGCGGUGAGGUUUGAUCCCUGGACCUCAAUGUUCGUAGACAUGAGUUCACACUUCACACCGCUCGGUGUCCCCUUGGCGACACCAUUCACCAUUCACAUUUUUAUACAGGGUUAAUUGCAUAUAAAUUAUUGAACUUUUAACAAAUUCUUAUUUUACACAUGAACUUUAAAAUCUUUAUUAAAAUUAUUCAACUGUUAAUUUCUUCUCAUUUUGCAUAUUUGUUCAUUUUUUGGCCAAAUUGUGGGUCUAAAAUGACUUCGUUUUAAUCCAAUUAUACAUUACAAUGUCAAUUUUAUUUUUCCACACGAUCAUAUUUAUGUUAUGCAAACAUAUUCAUGUCAAAUGAGUAUAUUUAUACCAUGUCACUACGAUAAAAAAUGGGCAAAUAUGUAAAAUAAGAAAAAAUUAAUAAUUGAGUAAAUUUAAUAAAAAAUUUAAAAUUUAUGAACAAAUGAAAAUUUGUUAAAAGUUCAAUAAUUUAUAUGCAAUUAUCCCUUUCAUAUAUCAAAGUUUCUAAUUGUGUUCCCAUUUCGUAAANAAAAUAAUUAAAUAGUCAUGCAGAAUUUGUUAACGUGAUAACGUCGACAUGGUACCAUAUAAUGGUACGUCCAGCUACUUUUAUGUGAUGAGGAGUAAUAUAUGCGGAGCAGAGGAAUGAACGCGGACAAAGGACUUAUUAGGGUCAGAGGAACAGUCAUUGCCAAAGGAAUGACCCUCGCCAGAGGAAUGACCCUCGCCAGAGGGAUGGCCUUCAUUAGAGAAAUCAUCAAAGAUAAAAGGGUGAUUUGCCUACGCGUCAGAGCAGAGAAAUCGCCCGCCUACGGGCAAAUUUACUACUAUGCCCUCAACCACGCGGGGAGCAUGUUUUUAGAGAUGAAGUCACUAUUUUACCCCUAGCAUGUAAUCUAUAAAUACUCAUGCACCCGUAUCUUGUAAACACACGCUCUCUCUCAAUACUACAACAAUUUUCUUCGACUCUCAAGCAAUUCAACUUUUUCUUUUCACGAUCAAACGCUAGGUAAAAUUUGUGGAUUAGAUUAGGUGUUGAUAAAAUACUUUAUCAAUUUUGAUAAGAUAAAAAUAAUAAGAUAUUUUUAUUUAUUUUGAUGAAUUGAAAUUUUAGGAUAUCUCAAGAUCCUUGAUUAUUUUUAUCAUUUAAGCUAAUUUUAUUUGAUUUUUAUUCCAUUAAAAAUGUAGAAUUGGAAAAAUCCUUAUUAUAUUGGGGAUAAAAAUACCCAAUCAUGCAUCUUAUUAUUAAUCAAGUAAAGUAAACGCUCCUUAAAGUUAUAGUAAUAAUACAAACCUAAUUACAAUGAUAAACCAUUUGAAUCCAAAUAAUCACAAUCUAUAUAAUAUAUAAAAAGACAGUUUAACGGCUACUUUUUCCCGCCAAAUAUUAAAAAUAAAUUUCCUAUUUUUUAGCAAGCAUGUUUUCGUUCCGAUCCACUCCUUUUUCUUUCCACUAAACUUUUUUUUACUAUUUUUCUAUUUCUUUAAUUUUUUUUUUAUUUUCUCCACUUUCAAAACAUUGUAUAAUUUAAUUCAUGAUAAAAUAUUUAAAAUAAAUAUCAAAUUAAAGAUUAUGAUAAGAGUUCUAAUUUAAUUUAAUUUAAUUAUAUUAUGUUAAAGAUAGGUUUAAAAUAAAAAUGUUAUAGAAGUCAAAAGACUCAAAAUAAUUUUUUUAUCACUCUUAUUAGUUUUGGAUAUUAUCUUUUAUGUUUCGGUUUAUUUUAUUUUUUGUAUUUUUUUUAUUUUGAUUUUUAUUUAAUUAACUUUAUUUCAAUUUUAUUUUAAAUUUUAAUUUCUUUUAUCCAUAGAAAAAAUAUGACAUCAAUUUGUAUAUAUAUAUAUAUAUAUCUAUAUCUAUAUAAUAAAAGGACAAUUUUAACAUAUGCUUUUUAGUGUUUAGUUUUUUUUUUAAAUAAUCUUUUGCUACUCCAAAAUGCCUAUUUUUCUUUCACAAGUCACACUCAAUCCUACAUUUUUUUUUUACCUUUUCUCUUUUUUUUUUUCAAUUACAAUGUAAUUUGACAAAUGGAUAAAUAUUCAACAUACAUAUCAAAUUAUCAUAAUCUUUAAUUUGAUAUAUUUAAAAAAUAAAUUUAAAAUUAAAUAUUUAUAACAUUUAGAAGUUUUAAACUACAAAAUUAUUUUCUUAAUUCUCCCUUCUAUUCUUUUCGCAUUUGGUCUUUCAUUAUACGAUAUAAAAAUAUUAUUUACGGUCCAUCGAACACAUUGUCUUGCUUGAUGAAAUACAAGUGAAUGAUUUAACUACUUAAAUUUAAUUUAUGAUUUACAACUUAUAAAUGAAUUGUUCAUAAUUAAUUAUAUAUGGUAUAUAAUUUAAUAUUAAUUAUUUUUUUACUAUUUUAUGUAAUUAUAAUGAUUCCCGUGCAUGAUACUAGUUAAAGAAAUUAAUUGGAACUUAAUUAGAGCAUUAAUCAGAACGAAAACAUAUAUAUUAACUUGGAGAGAAAUAAAUAAAUACUAACUUCUUUUUGUUUUAGUUAUUUUCAUCUUUCGCAGCUAUUUCGAUAAGGGUUGAGCAUCUCCAAAUAGAGCUGGCAAAAUGGGCGGGUCGGGCCGGCCCGACCCAGCCCAUCGGGCUUGUGGGAUUGACCGGGUCGGGCUGGCCCAACCUCAUCCGGGCCAUCGGGUGGUCCGGCCAAACCCGCCCAGUGAUAAUUUUGUUAUUAAAUUCCUUUUUUCUAUUUUUAUUAAAUUUAAAUAAAUUAAAAUAAAUCCAAUGAUAAUUAUAAACAAAAUAGAAAAAUAAACCACACUACGUUCAACAUGAAUCGAUUAAAUUCAAAUAGAAUGACAAAUAAAUAAAAAUUCAAAAAUAAUAGUUCACUAAUAAUAAAUAGAAAUUUAUAAUAUUUGUGAGAAGAUUAUUAAUUAUGUGCUCGGCAUAAUAAUGGUUGCAAUGUGUUGCAAUGUCAUAUAAGAUUAGUUAAUGGUUCCAACUAAAUUUAUUUUAUUUGCUAGAAUAACAAAAUAACAGUAGUUCACUAAUAAUGGUUGCAAUGUGUCGCAAUGUCCUAUAAGAUUAGUUAAUGGUUUCAACUAAAUUUAUUUUAUUUGCUAGAAUAACAAAAUAACAGUAGUUCACUAAUAAUGGUUAUUUUUUCUUAAGUGUUUUUUUCAAAGUAAUUAGGAAAAGGCAUAACAUCACAAGGAUCGAGUAAAAUUAAUUACGCAUUUUAGGGAGGAAAAUAAGAAUAAAAUAAAUAAAAUAACAUAUUUAAAAGUUAAAAAAAUAAAAUUUUUAAAAAUGAACGGACGGGCUUUUUAGCCCGCAAACCCCGGGCUUUUUUAGCCCCAAAGCCCGAUCGGCCAGGCGGGUUUACUGGGCGGACUUUUUAGGCCCGGAUUUUUUCGAGCCUCUAUUUUAUAAAGCCCAACCCAACUCAAAAUACGGGCGGGCCGGGCUGGCCCGUCGGGCCGGGUCAAUUUUGCCGGCUCUAGCUCCAAAUACUGUACACAUGCUUAUUGGAAGUUAAAAAAACGUGAUGUCUAGAUGGUUCUAAUAUUUUUUUGUUGAGUCCCAUCAAUUUAUUAAUUUUAUAAGAUUUUGUUUAUUUUCGUUCCACAUUCAUGCUAUAAUUCAAUCUCCACCUAAUUUAUUGGGACACCAUUCACAUUUUUAUAUAGGAUUAAUUGCAUAUAAAUUAUUGAACUUUCAAUAAAUUCUCAUUUUGUACAUGAACUUUAAAAUCUUUAUUAAAAUUAUUCAAUUAUUAAUUUCUUCUCAUUUUUUAUAUUUGUUCAUAUUUUGGCCAAAUUUUAGGUCUAAAAUGACUUCGUUUUCAUCCAACUAUACAUUACAAUGUCAAUUUUAUUUUUCUACACGAUCAUAUUUAUGCUACGCAAACAUAUUCAUGUCAAAUAAAUAUAUUUAUACCAUGCCACUACGAUGAAAAAUGGGCAAAUAUGCAAAAUGAGAAGAAAUUAAUAGUUAAUUAAUUUUAAUAAAAUUUUUAAAAUUCAUGCGCAAAAUGAGAAUUCGUUAAAAGUUCAAUAAUUUAUAUGCAAUUAACCCUUUCAUAUAAACUCAAAACAUCAUUUCCACAUGUACCAAAGUUUCUAAUUGUGUUCCCAUUUCCUAAAAAAAAUAAUUAAAUAGUCAUGCAGAAUUUGUUAACGUGAUAACGUCGACAUGGUACCAUAUAAUGGUCCAUCUACUAUUAUGACAUAUAUAUACGAAUAGCUUUUAAAUCUAAUGAUUUUUUUUAAAGGGUAAAUCUAAUGAUUUUAUAUAGGGAUUCUUUUUCCAAAGUCUGCCCAUAAACUUUUUAGGGUUAAUUGCAUAUAAAUUACUAUUGGAUUUUCAACAAAUUCUCAUUUUGUACAUGAACUUUAAAAUCUUCAUUAAAAUUAUUGAACUAUUAAUUAAUUUCUUCUUAGUUUACAUUUUUGUUCAUUUUGAGCCUCAUUUCUAUUAAACUAUACAUUACAACGUCAGUUCUAUUUUUUCACACAGUUAUUUUUAUGCUACUCAAGCAUAUUAAUGUCAAGCGAGUAUAUUUAUAUCAUGUCACCGCGAUAAAAAAUAGGCAAAUAUACAAAAUAAGAAGAAAUUAAUAAUUGUGUAAUUUUAAUAAAUAUUUUAAAAUUCAUGUGCAAAAUGAGAAUUUGUUGAAAGUUCAGUAACCAACAAAUUUUACUAUAUAUGUCAUCAUCUAAAUAAGAUUGACCACAGUUGGCUACAAACCGUCUUAUACUAUAGCGUCAAUCUCUCUAAAUAACCAUUUUGGUUAAUAAAAAAUUAAUAAUAAUUAUAAAAAUAAAAAUAUGUUAAUACUAAUUUUAUAGAAAAGAGACAACUAUAUCCCUUUAAUUUAAAUUUGUACCCAUGUUAUUUAUUUUCAAAACUUUUAGCAAAAAAUAAUUUAAAAACAUAAGAAAUUCCGUAAGAAUAGAAUUACUAUUUUCUUCGUUUCUUCUUGUUUCUUAUUUUUACUGUGAAAGUUCUUUCUUCAAUCUAAUCUUUUUGGUUCGAUUAUUUUCUUAUUUCUCUAUCUUUUCUUCUUCUUCUUUUCUUUCUUUUUCCUUUAUCAUUUGAUCCAUUUCUUCUUCUUAUCUGUUCUAUGUCUUGCAUUUCUUCAAAAAUAUUGUUCAAUUUUCAUACUCUUAUCCAACAGUUUAAUAUUGAUCUCAUCUUGAUGAUACCAACGAAAUUAAAAUGUAGAAGAAGAAUAGCAAGACAACUAUUCGGUGGUUACUUUACCAAGACCAAAAUCGGUGGUUGGCAGCGCUGGACGGCGGCGCGUCACGAUGGGAUUUAGGGUAGUCUGGACGACGGCGCAACCUGACUGCAAAUCGGUGAUGGCGCUCAUCCGGCAACGACGUCUGGGUAGUCGGGGCUUUUCAAUUUUGAUGUUAGGGUUAAGAGUUACUUUUACAUAUUUUAACUAUUGUAUUUGAAUUUAGAUUUGUAAAAUUUUCAGAUUUUCAAAAAUUAGUUAAUUUUUCAAUCGUCUUUUUAUAAAUUUUAAAUAGAUAAAUAUGAAAGGGUAUUUUAGAUAGUAGCGGUCAUCAUUUUUGCGGUUAGUUAAAAUGGUUAAUCUAUAUUAUAUGCAUGCCUGCGACUUGAAUUGACAAUCAACAUUAUUGUUAGGGGAUAAAGAUGUGAUUAUUAAAGAUAGUGACUUGGUCAUUAACGAGGAGGACUCGGAUGUGGAGGAAACUUUGGAGAUGGAGGCUCCAGAUGGCGCGGGUUUGAACAGCCCGAUUAUUGACGACACAGUUGUUGCUCGCGAACGUGACCCAACUUUGGACAAAAGAGGGGGUGUUUCGCAUGAAGGUAACAAGGAUUUGUCCGCUCUUGGCCCGGACAAUAUUGCUAGUCGCAUUAGUCAGUUAGAAGAGCAGGCUAGUCAGGGGAUGAAAAUGCUCUCGGACAAAACGACCAAGCGGGGACGUGGCCGCCCAAAGGGCACGGGAAAGGGCAUGGGAAGGGAGCCGAUGCAAGCGGUUCCGGAAGGUAGCAUAAAAGGUCGUCUCAGGAAUGCAGGGGAAAUGGGCUACAAGCCGAGGGACUUUGUAGUUGAUUGUAGCAAUAGUGAUAGCAUGAGGGCAAUGAAUAAUAUAGUUCAUAGACGUUGGUCAGAUGAGAUGGACGACUAUCCUGAUUUAUGGGAUUGCUAGUGUCUUCAGGUUUCGUAGCUUAACGAUCUCUUUUCGAGUUUCGUGCCCUUAGUCUGCGUUUUGUGCUCUCAAGGGAUUUUUUUUCUUUUUCUUUUAUAAUAAACCUCAAUUUAAUAAUCAACAUUAUUGUUAAUUGUGAAUUCAAGUUUUAAUUAAAGUUUAAUAAUACUAAUAGUAAAUUUAAACUUUAAAUUUCGAAUUCACAAUCAACACAUUUUUUAAUUAUGAAUUCAAACUUUAAAACUCGAAUUCACGUCUACAAAUAUUAUUAGUUGUGAAUUGUAACUUGAAAACUCGAAUUCACAACUAAAAUAUUGGUGGAUAAUUGUUAAGUUUUUUUAUGUCAAUGGUAAAAUAAUAAGUGACCAAUUUUUUUAUUUCGAUGAAAAAAAAUUUAUUUUUACUAUUUGAAAAUAGAAUUUCUAAACUCGAUUCUUUUUUAAUUUUAUAAUACUGCCAAAAAUGUAACCGUAUAUGUAUUCGAUCAAUAAACUAAACUGUUAAUUUACUUUUUGAAACACUAUAUAUAUAGCUAUCCAUAACCGUACGUUUUCAUGAUAUCAACUAUCAAGCAAAGCAUUUGAGCAAGCAAAAUAUAUAUACUAAGCCAUGGAAAAAACCAUUAACGAUGUUGCAGCGCCGUCAUGGGCGGAGCUCCUCGGCAGCAACAACUGGGAAGGCCUACUUGACCCCUUAGACCUCUCCCUCCGCGGCUUCCUCCUCCACUGCGGCGACCUCGUCCAGUGCGUCAGCGACGCCUACGUCAGGGACGAAAACUCCCCCUACGUCGGCAGCAGCCGCUACGGCGAGAAAACCUUCUUCCGCAAGGUCAAGUUCCCCUCCGCCUCCGCCUACCAGAUCUCCUCCUUCCUCUACGCCACCCUCGACAUCUCCCCCGACAUCGAGACCAACUUCAUCGGCUACGUCGCCACCUCCACCUCCACCAUCCCCGGCCGCGGCCGCGAGAUCUACGUCGCCUGGCGCGGCACCGAGUCCACCCUCGAGUGGCGCGAAGACGCGGACAUCGUGCCCGUCCCCGCGUCCGCCAUCACCCCCGACGCCCCCGGCAAUAUCAUGGACGGCUGGGUCAGAAUCUACACCUCCUCAAACCCUGAUUCCCAAUUCGGAAAGCUCAGCGCCCGCGAGCAGCUCCGCGCCCAGAUUCUCCAACUUCGGGAUCAAUACAAAGAUGAAAACCUCAGCAUAGUGGUGGCGGGGCACAGCCUGGGCGCGGCGCUGGCCGUGCUCUCGGCGUUCGACCUUGUCGAGAACGUCGUCCCCGACAUCACCGUGACGGCCAUCGUCUUCGCCUGCCCGCGGGUCGGGGACGGCGCGUUCGUGGAGAGGCUCGGGACGCACCCGAACCUGAAGAUCCUGCACACGAAGAACUUGCUCGACAUUGUUCCGAACCUCCCGUUCGGAUUCGGGUACACGGCGGCCGGCGUGGAGCUGGUGGUCGACGGCAGCAAGUCGCCGUCGCUGACUCCGACGGAUAAUCCUGGGGACUUUCAUAAUUUGCAGGGGAUACUGCACGCGGUGGCGGGGUGGCACGGGGAGGAGGGGGAGUUCGAGGUGGUGGUGAAGAGGAGCUUGGCGUUGGUGAAUAAGGCGAGUAACUUACUGACUAAAGAGUGUCAGAUCCCGGCGUCGUGGUGGGUGGCGGAGAAUAAGGGGAUGAUGCUUGAUCAGGACGGGGAGUGGGUGUUGAAGCCGCCGCUCGACGACGACGACGACGAUUGCCCCGCCGUGCCGGAGUGAUCAUAUCCUCUACUAUUGCCAAUUUGUGUUUCUAUUGCAUAAUCGUACGUGUCGUAAUAAUUUGUAUGUUUCGUUCAUGCUUUGUAUUACUAAUAAAUAAACGUGCUAAUGCGCGCGCGUGAUGCCCUAACGUACGGCAAGAGGUUAAUGUCCAAGACUUGAAGUCUUGUGGGUUUGAGUCCUUCGUCGUACGCUCUUUAAAUUUCUGGGGUUGGUCUUGCAUGUGGCCGGUCGCAUAGUAUGCGACUGGUUACUUUUAAUAGCAUAAGAUAUACAUUUAUUCGCACAAAUGUAUACUUAUGUAGUUGUACAAGUUCUCAUGAAUAAAAGUAACACUUAUCGUGAAUAAAUGUAAUACUUUAUGAAUAUUACAUUUUAUUGUAACAAUAAUUACUUUUUGUUGCGACAAUGAUUACUUGACCAAAUAGUUAACAAUGAUUACUUUUAGUUAUGUAAUUUAUCAAAAAAUGAAAAAAAAAGUACUUUAAAUUUUUUAUUUACUUAUGUAAUUUAUCAAGAAAAGAAAAGAAAAGUCUUUAAAUUUUGUAUUUAGUUAUGUAAUUUAUAAAAAAAAGAAAAAAAUAGCUAAUUGGUUAUAUCCAUAAAUUAGUACUCAUUUCCAUCUCUGAAAUACCUUUAUAUGGGGAAGCGACAUGACUUUUAAUAAAAUCUCAUCAGAGAAAAUCUUAAUUUUGGGUNCGGCUGGGUCAGAAUCUACACCUCCUCAAACCCUGAUUCCCAAUUCGGAAAGCUCAGCGCCCGCGAGCAGCUCCGCGCCCAGAUUCUCCAACUUCGGGAUCAAUACAAAGAUGAAAACCUCAGCAUAGUGGUGGCGGGGCACAGCCUGGGCGCGGCGCUGGCCGUGCUCUCGGCGUUCGACCUUGUCGAGAACGUCGUCCCCGACAUCACCGUGACGGCCAUCGUCUUCGCCUGCCCGCGGGUCGGGGACGGCGCGUUCGUGGAGAGGCUCGGGACGACCCGAACCUGAAGAUCCUGCAA
rnacentral:lncRNA from 1 species